AAUUCUUUUACUUUUUGUCGGCGAACCGAGCAGAUGUGAAAAUGAAGAGCUCUGCGUAAUUAAGAAAAUUCGAAUCCAAAGGCAUCGCUGGUGAAAUGUGCUAAUUCACCCAUUUAACCGGCAGAAGUUGUGGACAAAAGUAAAAGAAUUUAGUGCCCACCAUGUAUCUGUACAACCUGACCCUGCAGAAGGGUACCGGGGUGACCCACGCGGUCCACGGAAACUUCUCCGGCGGCAAGCAGCAGGAGGUGCUCCUGUCGCGUGGCAAGUCGCUGGAGCUACUGCGUCCCGAUUCCAACACCGGCAAGGUGCACACCCUGCUCUCCACGGAGAUAUUCGGCUGCAUUCGCGCCCUGAUGGCCUUUCGACUGACGGGCGGUACUAAAGAUUACAUUGUUGUGGGUUCCGACUCGGGACGCAUUGUGAUCCUUGAGUAUAAUGCCUCCAAGAAUGCACUCGAAAAAGUGCACCAGGAGACGUUUGGAAAGUCGGGAUGUCGCAGGAUUGUGCCUGGGCAAUACUUUGCCAUCGAUCCCAAGGGCAGAGCCGUGAUGAUUGGCGCGGUGGAGAAGCAAAAGCUGGCCUACAUCAUGAACCGGGACACGCAGGCUCGCCUCACGAUCUCAUCGCCCCUGGAGGCCCACAAAUCGAAUACCCUGACAUAUCACAUGGUUGGCGUGGAUGUGGGCUUCGAUAAUCCCAUGUUCGCCUGCCUGGAGAUCGACUACGAGGAGGCCGACAUGGAUCCAUCGGGUGACGCCGCCCAGCGCACUCAGCAAACGCUUACCUUCUACGAGUUGGAUCUCGGCCUGAACCACGUGGUUCGCAAAUACUCGGAGCCCUUGGAAGAGCACGCCAACUUCUUGGUAUCCGUGCCUGGAGGCAACGAUGGUCCUUCGGGCGUGCUCAUCUGCUCGGAGAACUACCUCACGUACAAGAAUCUCGGCGACCAACACGAUAUCCGCUGUCCCAUUCCGCGCAGGAGAAACGAUCUGGAUGAUCCCGAGAGGGGCAUGAUCUUCAUCUGCUCCGCCACGCAUCGCACCAAGAGCAUGUACUUCUUCUUGCUGCAGACCGAGCAGGGGGACAUCUUCAAGAUCACGCUGGAAACGGACGAUGAUGUGGUGUCCGAGAUCAAGCUGAAGUACUUCGAUACAGUGCCUCCGGCAACUGCCAUGUGCGUGCUGAAGACGGGUUUCCUGUUCGUGGCCAGCGAGUUUGGCAACCACUAUUUGUAUCAGAUCGCACACCUGGGCGACGACGACGACGAGCCGGAGUUCAGUUCCGCCAUGCCUUUGGAGGAGGGUGAAACCUUCUUCUUUGCGCCACGUGCCCUGAAGAACCUGGUGCUGGUGGAUGAGCUGCCCUCCUUCGCACCGAUCAUCACCUCCCAGGUGGCUGAUCUGGCCAACGAGGAUACCCCGCAAUUGUACGUCCUUUGCGGCCGGGGACCUCGUUCCACUUUGCGAGUGCUUCGCCACGGCCUGGAGGUCUCCGAGAUGGCCGUUUCCGAGCUGCCCGGUAAUCCCAAUGCGGUGUGGACUGUGAAGAAACGAGCUGAUGGCGCUUAAACACAGACGGCAAUAUGUGUGUGAACUAUCGAAAAAGACAAGCGAUUAAAGAGAAUUUCUCUCGUUUGUGUAAAUUUUAAUUGUCUUUUGUGAAGCGAUAGACGAGUUUGACGCCUACAUCAUCGUGUCCUUCGUGAACGCCACCCUGGUCUUGAGCAUUGGCGAAACCGUCGAGGAAGUCACGGACAGUGGC
rnacentral:misc_RNA from 1 species